ACCAAGAAGUGGGCGGAGCAAACAAUUAACAACAGGGCAAGGCAGCAGACAGAAACAAAGGAAAACACAGACAGACUCAUUACAGUUAGCUAGCUAAACUAUUAGCUCUGAAUGAAAACAAAGAAACUAUUCCACUGUAAUUUCAUACAUUGCUGCUCAGUGUUGGAUGGCAAGGACUGUCAGGAUGACUUCUUACAGAACAAUCAUAUUCCACUCAUACAAUCAGCAAAAUAAGCCAUAUUCUGCUAUCAGCAAAGAUUCUGGAGCUUGAUUACUGUUGAUUACUCAAUGGCAAGAAAAGAAACUAUAUAGCAUCUCUUUUAGCAUCCUUGCACUGACUCCUUGUCUAUAAAAUGAUGUAGUUUAAAGCUCUAUAUCGCUGGUCUAGCACAUAAGAUUACUCUGCUCCUAGGUCUAAUGUUUAACACUCAUUGGAGCAUUUUAGUAUGUGGUUCUGUUAUGUAUUUCUCAUGUUAUCAUUGUUUUAGGUGAUCAUAUAUCUUUUUACCUGUUCUGUAUACACUCACCUAUGCUUUAUAUUAAAUUAUCUUUAUGAAGCA